UCAGCCAUGUGCAUUCAUUUACUCUAGGUCAAUUCCAGACACACAGUUGUCGUGGAAGAGGCUGCUGUUCUUGGGUAGCUCGCCUACAGCAAAUCAAUAGUGGGCCAGGGAACACGGUCUACUUUGUCUCCGCCACGCCAGGGACUGAUAGAACAUGUGCAGUGCCUCUGAGCCAUCGUACAUCAAAUGGCAUGUAAUCAUGGCUCUCCCUCUCUCAGCACAAUCCUUUUGAAGCCAGUGCAGAGAUGGACUUGUUUCUGUGUGACUUUCAAGUUCUAUUUCCACAGUCUGGCUUGAAAAUCCGGUUGCCAUGGUGACACGAACCUCCGCAAAGGCUCUCCUCUCUCCUCAAUAACGAAGUUAACGCCCUGUUGAGGAAAAGUGGUGUCUAUGGCUUAAUGGUUCGGCGAAGGCGACAGAUCCAUGCUCCGAUUUCCAACUGAGAGGUGAAAAGAUGAACACGUUGAAGUAUGCUGAACUGGCAUGCCACCAUUGGGCUUGUUUCUGGAGCACUAGAAAGGAAGAACAACUGUUUCAAAAUGAGCAGAAGGGGCUGUGUGAGUAGCUGACACACAGUGCUGUGCUCCCCUAGAAACCCUCUUGCCUACCCGCUAUUCAGCUAUUCAACCAGGCACCACCCACUAGGCUACCUCUGCCUUGUUCCUGGAGCCUCACUAUCAGGAGGCAGGGCAGUGGAAGGGGGUGGGGGUGGGGUAUCAGUUCCCAGUCCAGUUGAGGAGUGAUCUCGGUGUCAGAGUGGUCUCUGAAUGGAUUUCCUCUUGAAUAUGGCCACAUUUCAU